rnacentral:rRNA from 1 species
GAGUUUGAUCCUGGCUCAGGAUGAACGCUAGCGGGAGGCCUAACACAUGCAAGUCGAACGGGAUUGAGAGCUUGCUCUGGUGAAAGUGGCGCACGGGUGAGUAACGCGUGGAUAACCUACCCUGGUAUCCGGGAUAACAUUCCGAAAGGGGUGCUAAUACCGGAUAAGCCCACGGGCUCUUUGGAGCUUGCGGGAAAAGGUGGCCUCUAUUUAUAAGCUACUGUAUCAGGAUGGGUCCGCGUACCAUUAGCUAGUUGGCGGUGUAACGGACCACCAAGGCGACGAUGGUUAGCUGGUCUGAGAGGAUGAUCAGGCACACUGGAACUGAGACACGGUCCAGACUCCUACGGGAGGCAGCAGUGGGGAAUAUUGCACAAUGGAGGAAACUCUGAUGCAGCAACGCCGCGUGGAGGAUGACGCAUUUCGGUGUGUAAACCCCUUUUAUAAGGGAAGAUAAUGACGGUACCUUAUGAAUAAGCACCGGCUAACUCCGUGCCAGCAGCCGCGGUAAUAC